rnacentral:rRNA from 1 species
UACAGAGGUCUCAAGCGUUGUUCGGAAUUACUGGGCGUAAAGGGUUCGUAGGUGGCCACUUAAGUCAGACGUGAAAUCCCUCAGCUUAACUGGGGAACUGCGUCUGAUACUGAGUGGCUUGAGUGCAGGAGAGGAAUGCGGAAUUCCAGGUGUAGCGGUGAAAUGCGUAGAUAUCUGGAGGAACACCGGUGGCGAAGGCGGCAUUCUGGACUGUAACUGACACUGAGGAACGAAAGCCAGGGGAGCAAACGGG